rnacentral:lncRNA from 1 species
AUUAUUAGCACACAUCUAUUUCCAGCCCUUUAACAAUGGAACAUCAAAAAUAUCACCUUCUGGGAUUUGAGAGGAUCUAAAACUAUUUUUCUGUAUAAAUAUUAUUUGCCAAAAGUUUGUUUAUAUUCAGAAGUCUGACUAUGAUGAAUAAAUCUUAAAUGCUUUGUUUAAUUACAAAAACAAAAUCACCAAUACCAAGACAUGAAGAUAGCAACUCAACAAAUACUGUAGUUAAGAGAUGAACUCGUCACUUGUAUGGGAACCACAUUUCACUCUUUGUUUUCAGGAUGUAACAGCACUUCACCUAAAUAUUCUUUGAGCCAUAUCACUGGUAACAUUUCUACUAAACCUCUCUGUAACACUUAAAGAAUUCCCUCAUUCAUUACCUUACAGUGUAAACAGGAGUCUAAUUUGUAUCAAUUCUAUGUUUUGGUUGUAAUAUUCAGUUCACUCACCCAAUAUACAACCAAUGAAAUAAAAGAAGCAUUUAAAAGGA